UACGGGGGGGGCAAGCGUUGUUCGGAAUUACUGGGCGUAAAGGGCUCGUAGGUGGCCAACUAAGUCAGACGUGAAAUCCCUCGGCUUAACCGGGGAACUGCGUCUGAUACUGGAUGGCUUGAGUUCGGGAGAGGGAUGCGGAAUUCCAGGUGUAGCGGUGAAAUGCGUAGAUAUCUGGAGGAACACCGGUGGCGAAGGCGGCAUCCUGGACCGACACUGACGCUGAGACACGAAAGCGUGGGUAGCAAACAGG
rnacentral:rRNA from 1 species